rnacentral:lncRNA from 1 species
GGGCAAUCAGCAGCAAAUUUGAACACCCAACAAAACUCAAACUCAACACAAAUUUACACACAGCCAAUCCUAGGAUCCAAUUUUGAAUUAUUUUCAAACCCAGACCAGCUCAUAAACUUCAGAACUCGAAAAAUUGCAGAAAUCCAAACAGGAGAGCAAUGGAACAUGAAAACUUCAACCAAGCUGGACCCAAAGCAUUUCUAACACACGAUCAAACCAUUUUUAACUAUAAAGAUUCUGAAAUUGUCCAGUAAUCUACUAAAC